rnacentral:tRNA from 1 species
GGGGAUUUAGCUCAGUGGCAUAAGCGCUUGCUUUAUAAGCAUGCAGUUGUGAGUUCAAUCCCCA